UUACCAUAAAGAAGUCGAAUUUGCUAUUAACAAUUUAGAAAAUUUUUCCAAUAUUGAUACUUUCAUGAAAGUGGGUAAGAUUUCAAACCACCUUGUUGUGCUCAGUUGGUCAUGACAUCACACAUCAAUCCUACUUUUAAGGGUCUAAUCAAGAUUGAGGUAGCUAUUAAAGAUGGUUUUUCUGGACCCUGUUAAACACUUGCCAUUACUUUUAUUGAUAAUUCGGUUUCGAAAAAUAAUAAUUGGGUAGAGGGUAGUGCUCUUGGAGAAUCGAUAGAAGGAUACCCGGGAUUUAAAAGACGGGGCUCGGGAUCCAACGGGAUUUCUUUUUAAAGCGGAAGAAGCCUCAACAAAACUAUUAGGGGUCAUGGUGGUCGUUUCAAAGUUGCUGGAAAUUAUCGAAUUCCUCUAGCUAAUGCGAUGAACUCCAUGGUCGAGAUGAUUAGUGCCAAGUUGGGAUGGGUUUUAAUGCUGGCGUAGUGUGUACUAUUGGGGAUAUCCAGAAGGAACCAAAAACCCCCCAAGUGGUAGAGGUAUGGUUUUUAAUCUCUUUUCUUAUUAUUUUAUGAAUUUAACAAUUUUUUCAUAGAAUUGUCAAGGAUGCGCGAAUAAUAAAUUCUCACGUAUUUUUCAUGAGUAUAAAUGUUUGAAUAAACCAGAUAUUGUUGGUUUAUUAGAAACUAGAGUUAGUGGAAGUAAAGCAGACUCGAUCAUUGCAAAGCUGGGUUUUCAGUUUUCUCACCGUGUGGAAGCUAUCAGCUUUUCUGGAGGCAUUUGGAUUGGUUGGAAGGACUCGGUAAAAGUUGAGAUCAUUCAUAACCAUCCUUAAUUUGUCUUAAUUUGAGCAUAUACUACCGAUGCGUCGAGGCCUAUUUUCAUCACAUUUGUUUAUGGGAGUCUGAAUGACAAAGGAAAAGAAUUCUUUGAGUUGAUCUAAAGACGACUAUAAACUGGUGAUGAAAGUUAUUGCUAACCGGUUCAAAGUUGUUUUGCCAAGGAUAAUCUCGCAGGAGCAGGCUGGUUUUGUUACAGGUAGGAAUAUCACGGAUAAUGUUCUUAUUGCUCAAGAGGUAAUUCAUCCCAUGAAGAAGCAGAAGAACAAAAACUGGAUGGUCAUAAAAAUUAAAUUGGAAAAGGCAUAUAACAGGGUUCGUUCAAAAUUCAUUGACGCUUCUCUCCAUGCUGCAGGUAUACCUAAUAUUAUUCAUCAUGUUAUUAUGUCUGCUAUCACGUCUUCUUCUAUGCAGGUUCUGUGGAAUGGAGUUCCAACUCAGAAAUUUAGGCCUGCAAGGGGAAUAUGACAGGGAUGUCCACUCUUUUCGUACCUUUUUGUUAUGUGUAUGGAGUGGCUAAGUCAUAGUAUUCAUUCUGCCAUUACUACAGGGAAGUGGAAGCCUAUAUAAUUAUCUCGACAAGAACGAGUGUUGACAGGUAAUUGGAUCCAGAUGUACAUUGAUGGAGCUGUUAAAGCAGAAUCUAGCCUCGCAACCGUAGGAGGAGUCAUGCGUAAUCGAAGCUGGAAAUGGAUCUUAGGCUUCAACUGAUAUUUGGGAAUAUGCUCAGUCUUGGAAGCUGAAUUAUGGGCCAUCUUCGAUGGCUUGGCUCCUAUCUUAAAUUUGGGACAUGACAAAGUGUUGAUUAACACGGACAAUAUGGAGGCAGCUCGGGCUAUUUAGGAUAAUUCUUCAAGGGACUCAAAUUCUACUUUGGUUAAGCAAAUUCAACAGCUAUUGACAAAAGCAAACCAAUGGCAAAUCCAACAUAUUUCGAGAAAAAAAAAACAAAGUUGUAGACUAUCUUGCUAAAAUGGCUUGUAAUAAUGAUAAUAAUAUGAAAUUGUUUGAACAACCUCCUAGUCAUGUGUUAGUCUAGGUUAAGCUUCCUUAGUUAUGUUUAUUUUCACCAAAAAAAGAAGAAGCAAUAAUGCAUGUACCUAUUAUAUGUUUUUUAAUUUGACUGAUUUUAUUUCCACUUUAUUUAUUUAACAUAGUUACCACUUUCUU